GUGUCAGCAGCCGCGGUAAUACGUAGGAUCCAAGCGUUGUCCGGAUUUACUGGGUGUAAAGGGUGCGCAGGCGGACUGGUUAGUCUGGGGUGAAAUCUCAUCGCUUAACGGUGAAACUGCCUUAGAUACUGCCAGUCUUGAAUCAGCGAGAGGUUCGUGGAAUUCCGAGUGUAGCAGUGAAAUGUGUAGAUAUUCGGAAGAACACCAGUGGCGAAGGCAGCGAACUGGCGCUCGAUUGACGCUCAGGCACGAAAGCAUGGGGAUCAAACAGGAUUAGAAACCCUGGUAGUCC
rnacentral:rRNA from 1 species